rnacentral:lncRNA from 10 species
AGAGAAAACUCCUCCAAAAGCAGCUCUCACUAUCAGAAAACCCAACUACAGUUGUGAACGCCUUCAUUUUCUGCCUGAGUCUCAGUCCGUCGGCCCAGACUGAAGUGCAGUGGCACAAUCAUAGCUCGCUGCAGCCUCGACCUUCCAGGCUUAAACGAUUCUCCCACCUCAGCCUCUCGAGUUGCUGGGACCACAGGUAUGCACCACCA